UGCUCCACGGGUGCUGCCCAUAAUAGGGACCCUGAUCACGUGAAUCGAUGAAAAACUGUGGCCUGUCAUUCAAGUCGAAGUUUACUUCCUUCCCUGAUUGCUGAGAAACUGAAGGUGACGCGCUUUGCUGCCCAUUGUGACUUAGAAACAAUCUCGUUUCCAUCUUCAACUCAGAAGGUGGAGGAAUGUCAUCCUCUUCGUUUGUACAAUUCAAAUCCAGGUUGAACCUGCUUGAUCCUCGGAAAUUAGCUUCAUGUGAGGACUCUCCACCCCUAGAGUUUGAUGAGGAGAAAGGAAACUGUUUCCAGGGAGUCUGAUCUUCAACUUGAUCAUCUCCUACAUCCGCUACAUUCAGAUCGACACAUAUCACCUGCUUUUCUCUUGAAUCCCCGCUAGGAACUUUGUGAGGUGAUUCCGAGUGAGAUACACUACAAGCAGCCAAACCUUUCGCACUAAGAGAUCUUUCCAAUUGCAACGGUGCCGCUGCAGGCAUACCAGAAUAUGAAACAGACAUAAUGUCAUCGGUCUCAUCAGGACAAAUAUCUUCAUUGAGGUCAAAGCCACAUGGGCUUUUCUCUCUCCCUACCUCGGAUUUAGCAGGUUCUGCCAGGUGCUUCUCUUUAACAUCAUCAGCGUUCACCAUCCCAUUCUCACGUUUAUUAUUCUUCUCUUCCAGGUGAUCUCCAACAUGUGGUUCCUCAAGGGAAAGACUUUCACCCACUGAUAAUCUUUUAGAUGGAGAACCUGUGUGUAGAUCACCACUGUGGGAGUGUUGCGAAUCAGACUGCCCGCUUUCAUCAGAUAGUUCUUCUGAAGAACUGUGAGAAGCUUCCCCAGAGUCUACGUCUCUUGCCACUUCCUGUGCGACUUUGGUAGCGAUCUCCAAGGCAUCCAAGAUACCAAGGUCAAUAUCAGCCGUUGUUUUGUCGAUUGCUCCAAGGCGCUGGGAUAUGGUCAUUGAUCUAGAAGACCUGCGUUUUUUUCUUCGUUUCACUCUCUUCUCUGUGUCUAAAUGUCCCUUACCUUCUCUUUUGUCUUCACUCUCAACUUUAUCAUUUCUACCAUGACCACCUGAUAAUCUAGACGAACUGUCAGAAUCCUGAUUGUCCGUCACCUGAGCCAAUGAAGGCACAUUUUCCCUAUUAUGGGCAAUACUAACAUCGUGCGACGCGCAUACGGUCUCAGACGCAUUCCUGCUGACCUCAUUUGAAUCAAGACUACUCUGCAAAAUACUAUUUUUCUCCAACUCCAUGCUGACAAUAACAGAAUCAGAAGACACAGCUACAGAACUAGAUGACACUGCUCCAGCUCCACCAAUCUUUUCAAGAAAAUUUCCAGGGCUUCCUAGCUGCUUUUCCUUAGAUAUCUCAGCACUAACCGGAGCAAUUGAUGGACCUUCGACACUAUCGCGUUCUGAAUUAAGAAUGCUAAUAGAGCUUGCAACUUGUGCCUGCCACCAACAAUAUAAGCUUGCUUGUAUAAGCAAAAAGAUCAUAUUUUGUUUCAAUAUAUUUUCUCAGUAAAUUGGACCUUACCUUGGCACUGAGAUUAGAAAGAAAAGCUGUACACUCGUCUGGCUGCAUCACUGGUUGUGCGUCUUCUGUCUCUUGUUUAUUUGAAGUAGCUGCCUUUCCAGACUCUGAUUCAAUGCUUAUUUUGUUUGGUACAGUUGCACUAUUAUCUUCUUUACUCAUCUGCGGCGGCUUACCCAAAGAGACUUCUUCUACACACGCUCCUCCACGGGUAGGAUCUCCAGAAGUCUGCAAUAACACAAAGCAAUAAAGUUGACUGUCAAGUUAUCAUCUUUGGUAAAAUCUGAUUCCUUCCUAGGAUUCUGAGAAAGCUGGUUAUAGGGAAAGGGAGAAGAUUAUUACUUGGACAUAAGCAUCGCAGUUGUGAGGAUUGGCGGAGAGCUCCGAACCUAGGAAUGGGGCAGCCUCGGAAUCAUCCGCAGAGGGUGGGGCAGGAUCUUCCAUCUUCUGAUCGAUGCUCGUGAGUAGCUCAGUGUCAUCCAUCGUCUCAAUUUUCUCCGUCGUCGAGACUAUAUAACCACCAAUUCAAUUUGUGAUUUUGAAAUUAGAAUCUAUGCAAACGCACUCACACAAUUGGUCAAUUCCUUUGAAUUAUAAACCGGUAAGGAUUUUGAUAAGCUUGAAGUAAGCUCAUCGGGGGGGGGAGGGAGAAUUGACGAAGAGCAGGGUAGAAGGAAGAAGAAGAAAUGAGAAUUUAGGGAUUUUGAUAUUUGAUUUGUUGAUUUUUUCCAUAAAGUUUGCGUGAUUACAUACAUAUAAAGUAUAAACCAAAAGAAGAUAAUAACUAACAGCCCAAUGGACAAUAAACCGAGGCCCAAAUGGUUCUUAUCAGAUUUCACGGUUAUCCUUAACCUCACAUUGAUUGUAAAAUAAUUUUGGGGCCCGGUUGAUGUUCGGGUAAAUUGAGGCUUUGUGGUUGUGUAAAGUCCUGGAAGCCGAAAAAUUGCCAAUAAAUUUUUUUUAGACUUUAGAAAUAUGUAAAGCUUUAAAAGCCACUUUUAAACAAAAAAAAAACUGGUUUUUAGUUCUUUAUUUUCAACAGCCACUUUUUAAUGCUUUUAAACCAUUUCUUUUUAUUAUUUUUUUCUAAAAAAACGUGAACGCUUAAGGUUUUAGGAUUUGCUCAAUGCCAAAAUUAUUUCGCUUAGAUGAUACUAAUUUUCCUCAUCCAUCUGAUGGUAAGUAUUAUUUAGGUGAUUCAGAAUACGCAUUGCACCGUAGAUAUCUUUGUCUUUAUAGAGGAAAUACAUCUCUUAUAUACUAAAGCACAAGUCACAUGUGGAAUAUAUUUUAUUAAAAAAAUCUAUCUAAAACAAAUUCUCAUCCCUAAUUUCCAGCAACUCUAUCCUAUUUUUUCUCAGAAUCCACGUUCAAAAUCACCAUGAUUUCAAACGGUUUUCUUCUCCUAUAUACUUUUUGAUCUUUUAGUUCACUCUCUGUUUUAUAUUUUCUAUCUUCUCCAUUAUCAAAUCCCCAUGCUUAUCAAGGACAAACGUUAGUAUCUGAGUUUCCAAUUCUUUUAUCUAAAAUUGAAUAUUUACAGGUAUGUUUUUUGGCUUAUCUUUACGUAAUUACUAUCUUUUGCAUUAGUUUUAGUAUUUCAAAAGGAACAUACAGACCUGUAACCCACAUUCUAAUAGUACGUUUAAUAUCUUUAAGUUUUACAUCUAUUUUAGUCAAGGUCAGAGUUCAUCUCAUGUUGAAAUAUAUUCAUGGUCAAUUUUACAUUGCCAUAUCAAGAGUCGAAAGUAUAGAGAUCUUAAUUGUUAGUGAGGAGGGGGGGAGGGGGAAGGAUACAAAAACAACUAAUGUUUCUAGAUAUUUUUCAUCACAUUAGAGAAUCUUGAAUCAUCUUUAGGUGAAAAUAGAAUAAUAAGUGUAGCCACCACAAAAAAAAACAAUGAUAGAGAUCUUCAGAGCUUGGAAGAUGAUGAAUCCCAUAGAAAGGUGAUGAAUAUUUUCUAGAGUAAAUGCAACUUCUUUGUUUGAACGCAGCCAUCUCUUAUCAUGUUUAUCGAAUAUUUGACUAGAUUAUUAAUUUUUAGUGAAAGAUAUAUUAAAAUUUCAUGAUCAAGUAAUUUAAUAGACAGGGAAAUUGAUCCGUGCAUGGCACGGGAGAACACUAGUAUCAUCUAAAUCAGUUCUAAAAUCAACAAGAAGAAAGAAACUACAGAGAAAUUUUUAAUCGUCACCAUUCAUGACUUCGUUCAGUGAUAGAAAGAACUUUUGGAGUAUAGAAAAAAAUGAUGUAUUGUCAAAGACGAAGCAAGGUAUAACAUAUGCAAAAAAUUGUGGUGGCAACCAUGGUUCUCCAUAAUUUUAUUUGUAAAUCAAAUCUUGUGGAUCCUAAUUUUCAGUCAAAAGAAAAUGAAAAUGAACAAAUGACAAAUGAGGAAAAAACUUCCAGAUACGAUUGAACAAGAUCUCAGUUCAAAACAAUACAUGGAAGGUGUUCGAGAUGAACACUGCAAACAACAUUAGCAACCGUUAAAUCUUAUUUUUUAUAUUUAAUAAAAUGUAAUCUUAUUUAAAUAAUAAAAAUAAUAUUUUUUGUUAGAAUAAAUAAUAAAAUAUAUUUACUGCUAAUUUUUUACUGAUAAAUAAAAAGUAGAUAGAAAAAAAUAAGUUAUAGAUUUUGGAAAUGAAUGUGAAAUAUAUACUUAUAACAGUCGCAGCUUCUAAAGUUUUUGAUGUCAAUCAAGCUUUUAAACUUUUCAAAAUAACAGUCACAACGUUUAAAGCUAAAUUCUCUACAGUCAUAUUUUUAAAACCAAAUCAUAAAGCGAAAGUGUUUACCAAUCCGACCCUUGGUCUUGAAUAGUUUAGUGUAGACGAAUUUUGGAACUCAAACCCACUCGCGAUUCACAUCUAUCGACCUCGUUUACAUUUCCAAAUUAGUACUCCUAUAUUACACUCAAUUAAACACUCAACCCAAUUCUCUAUCUCCUACUAAGUUUAAUGGUAAAUGCAACUCUUGUUAAUUGUGAAAAAAAACUCUGGUUAAUUAUUUGAAAUAAGUUAGUGAAAAAUAAGAAUUUCUCUAAAAUCAACUCUCAGUUAGGCACCAUUUAUUUUUCUAUUAAACUAUAAAUACUAUAGUAUAUCACCAAAUAUCUUAUUAUGUUUUAUAUAUUUCUAAAAGCCAUAUAAAUUUAUAUAAACUGAAUAUUUUGUGAGAAUGUAAGUUUUGAAUUUCUUAGGGAGAAUAUAAGUCUUUUUUAACAACUGCGAAAACAACCGUUAAUUUAAUAUUUUUUGUAUGCAUUAUACACUAAUGCCUGAUAAAUGUAUGAUGUUAUAGAUAGUUUUUGUAAAAAAAUAGACAACGACUCAAAGACCAAAUGUGUGUUAUUUUCAGUUAGAUACAUAAAAUGAAAAUAGAACAAGAAUCAAGUGAGACCAUAACUUGAAAUUGGAUUCAAGAUGACUUACAGCCAUGGAUGGUCUUGAGCAUAGUGAAGUGAAAUAUUGGAAUAGGGUCUCCAAUUUUUUUUUUGAAAAUUUUACUUUGAAAAAGGUCUCCAAAUUUGUAAAAAAUAAUUUUAUGUUAAAACUUUAAUAAAAUGUUUAUGGCCCCCAACAUUUUAGGGACGCCGUGCUUACACUUAGUGGGAGUUAUUGGUUGGUGUAUUUUGAUGGAUUUAAAAAUUCAAACUAAAUCUAGUGUUAUUGGUUCUACGAUUUUAAAAUAUGUAUUGAAAUUAUGUGUUAUUCGUUUAAUGAUUCAUAAAUUCUAAUUCAAAUCAAGUGUUAUUCGUUUAAUGAUUCAUAAAUUCUAAUUCAAAUCAAGUGUUAUUCAAUCGUACGGAUUUACUAAUAAAUUUGAUUUCAUAAUGUAUUUGAAUGGAUUUGCAUGAAUUUCUCUGUGAAAAAUACAAAGGCCCAAAUCCGAAAGAAAACCUCCGGAUUUGUAAAUACUAAUCCGAGAAAAUUUGAAAAUUUGUAUAUUUUACUUGGAUUUAUAAAUACUAUAUGGAUUUCUAAAUCAAUAAAAAUAUAUAAACCAAUAACACCUCCUUACAGUAUAUAUACUAUAUACUCGCGAGUUAAGAACUUCCAAAAUCUCAAGAACUACCAAAAGGUGUUUACAUGUAUACAAUGGAAACUCACUCAGCCCCCUUGAACGGGUUUGUCUCUGCUUUUUUGAGUCUCAGAUGCGAUAUUGUCAGUCUACAAUAUAAGAUUUUCUUCAGAGUGCGUUAAUAAAGUAGAACAAGAAAAGCUAUAUCCAAGGGAAUGAGAAGAGAAGGGACCAAGGUGCUUUCGCCUAUUCAGAACUUCGAGAUGUGUCCUUUGAAUUCCUCGAACCUUCUAUGAAAGCAAUCAUACCAGGCUAGAAUUCUUUGGACCAGAUAAAGUAUGAACUCAAGACUUGAGGAAAACCAGGAAGAGAGACAGAUUCCUCCCAAUUUCCACGCCGACUGAAAUCCUCUUUUUACCCUUCUUUGGAUUUGACCGUUCUAUACUGAUCUUCUUACCAAGAAACAUCUUUUUGUUCUUUGCUAUAGCUGCUGCAAAGUCCUCAUCAUCCACAAAGUCAACAUAUGCCAGUCCCUGCGAGACACAAGAGCAUCAAGAAUAUUAAUCCACCAUACUGGCAUGCUUCACUAAGACAUAAAAUAGCAGCAGAUAGUCAUCGGCAGUAUGCAUAAUUGAUAUCUAUGAUGAACAGAUUUACCAAUCAAUGCACCUGGAAAAAUAUACUCAAGUUCCAACAGGAUUUCAUCUAAGCAUGAUCAUACGGAAACUAGGAAAUUUCCAGAUUCAUUUACAGUAACAGUAAAGACUAAGAAGAGCAAAUACUAAUUCAAAGUCGAAAGUACGAGCAUUAGACCAAAGAAGAGCAAAUACUAAUUCAUCUAGAGGCUAGAGAUGCUUCAUUCCUUGCUCAUUCAAGCCACAGAGAAGGACUUAAUGGAAACACGGCACUCAUAGCUUCCCUUGCUUGUCUUAGCUUUUCAAGGUUUGCAUAAUUCCUGAGAAGCUUUAUAUACUGCAAUAACGUUGAUUGUCAAGCAUGAAAGUUAUCAUUUUUUUAAAUGAAAAUUUGGUAAAAGAAAAUCUGUUUUCCUGCCAGAUUCUGAGUGGGAGAAGAUUUCAAGCAAAUGGAAGGUAGAGAAGAUGUUAUUAUUGGAUGAUACCUUCUUUAUUGCGUCUGACUUCCAAGGCUAAAAAUGAGUUUCUGGGUGCUUCUUCUACUUCCCCAACUGUUACGUUUAGCUGCUUUGAUAUUGGUCUGAUUAUGCAUAUAAUUUGAACCGCUAGAUAUUCUCCAAGUAUUGUUCUUUACGACAGCUCAAACUCUGUUUCUAGGAACCACACAAACAACAGCUCAAACUCUGUUUCUAGGAACCACCAUUGUUUGGUUGGUUUAAGAGUUGUAUGAAACAGUUCAGAACUGCUACAGUAACAUAAAGCAACACUUGAAACGCAAAACUAUAGUUUUAUUUUAUGGAGAAAAUACAAAACAAGGUUAAGAAGAAGCUUGACAUAUACCAAUGUUUGAAUUAAUCCUCCUAUAUAUGUUACGAAAUAAAAACCUGAAAAAGGGGGAAAACUGAUGGGAAAAAAGAAGAAGAAAGUUCAUCAAGACAUUAUAAGUUACCUCCCAACACUUCUGUUAUUCUCUAACCAAUCAACCAAUCCAUCCACCUAUUAAGAACCCAAUCUCCACUUUCUGCGAAUCACUCAUCUCCAUGGAGGAGGGAACUCCCAACGUGUCUCCGGCUCUUUCCGCUUUCCACCAAUGCUAAUAGAUAAGCUCGAUGAAGGCUCUACAUUUGCUCCUGAAUGCUCUCCCAUAGCUUCGCCUUGUCCAGGUGAUAGAAACUGCCUCAAACUUAGCGACUCUCGGUUUCCCAUCUCACCCCCAAACCCAUAACUUUGAUCAAAGCGUGGCUGCACAGAUCCAUUCAGACUAUGCGAUCCACCCGCCAAGCUCAUGAACAUGUGCUGUUGAGGAAAUGGUGGCUGUGCAUAUGGAGUCGAUCCCAUCAUUUGAGGCAUCAUCACUGGCGUACCCCUUGCGUCCACCAUGUAUGGAAUAGCUGUUCCAGGAACAUACAUGGCCGAUGAUGACAUUGACAUCCCAGGAGGACCAGUAAAUCCGUUGUACCCAUAUACAGGAGCUGGAGAAAAGGACACUCCAGGUGCUAAACCCAAAGAGUUUCCUGUUUUUCCCAUGUAUAAUCCUGUUGCUGUCUCGAGGGACUUACCAUUGGACAGGAACGAAGCCAUCUGGGAAACAGUCUCUUUUCUGUCAACGUCCACUUUUGUACCCAAUAGAGAGAUAACCGGUUCAUCCACUUUGUGCCCUCCAUAGGAGGCUGUGCUCCACGGGUGCUGCCCAUAGUAGGGACCCUGAUCACGUGAAUCGAUGAAAAACUGUGGCCUGUCAUUCAAGUCGAAGUUUACUUCCUUCCCUGAUUGCUGAGAAACUGAAGGUGACGCGCUUUGCUGCCCAUUGUGACUUAAAAACAAUCUUGUUUCCAUCUUCAACUCAGAAGGUGGAGGAAUGUCAUCGUCCUCGUUUGUACAAUUCAAAUCCAGGUUGAACCUGCUUGAUCCCCGGAAAUUAGCUUCACGUGAGUACUCUCCACCCCUAGAGCUUGAUGAGGAGAAAGGAAACUGUUUCCAGGGAGUUUGAUCUUCAACUUGAUCAUCUCCUACAUCAGCUAAAU
rnacentral:lncRNA from 1 species